rnacentral:lncRNA from 1 species
GAUGUCCAAGCCCCCAUCAGUCCAUCUGUUGCCUUAUAAACAGGGUCACCCCACUGCACUGCUGACAGUGCUCCUGUGGGGCAGUGACCCCCCAGUUCAUCUGUGCUGGGACCCCCCAUCCCUGGCUCAGCACAGACCAUUCACAAGGACUAAUGACUUUUUAGCCAAUUUGUGUUUCAUUGUGGUAAACAGCCCCCUCCUGCAGGUGCUGAGGGGUCUUCCCAGGUCACCUGCACUUCCUGAAGUCCCUUGUGUCCCCUCUUUCUUCCCUCCACCAGAGAAAGAGGAGGAUUCCUAUUCCUAUGAAAAUGUCAUCAUUGGAGUGUCUCACGGCUUUGACCCGGAUGAGGCUGCAGACUACGAGAACAGCGAGGCCAUGCACACGUGGAAGCUGCAGCAAGAGGAAGCCCUGCAGACAGAGAGCCUGGAUGAGGAGCCAGUCUACAUCAACACAGCUCCUGCAUCAGUCCCUGCCCUGCUGUCAAAGCAAAGUAUUCUGCAUAAAGUCUGAAGAAAUCCUUGGCUGAGCUGCAGGAGCUCACCCAGCGAGCACGCACAGGGGGAGAGGGGAGAUUUCCAGCCCUCAGUGAAAUCUCUUCUCCAAAUUGUGCCCACAAUCACAUAGAAGGGAUGUCACUGAAAGGAAGAAAUGCUCUGCUUGAAGGCCCACAGAAGUCCCAACUGCAAACCUGCAACUGGACAAAGCUCUCUGCCCACAGGGACCAUGGGCAGGCCCCCACCUCGUCAUCCCACCUCAUUUCCCUGCAGCUCCACUCGAGGGAGGGUGGCCAGUCUGUGCAAUGUUUUCUCCUGCCAAGCAUGAAGUGAAUCCUUAAAUUGCUGAGCAGUAAUGCAGCCAGUUACUUAAUUUGUCAGGGUGACUCAUGCACGAUGGUACUAAGCCCGAGGGAUUAUGUUCUGAUGUAGUUCCUGUGCUCUCCCAUAGAAGCAGUUUCCUACAAGAGAGGAACUGGCAAGGCAGAGGUUGUAUUUACAACAGCAGUAGUUCUGUGGAGCUCAAUGAGAUACCAACCUGUUCACAAAAGCUAAAGAGGAUUAAGUCCCUGCCUUAUCCACAGCUUGUGAUUCACAGUGUUGAUCUGUGGCAGUUUUCCUCGUGUUUCAGUAUCUGUUUUAUAAGGAUACAAAGAACCAGCAGCAACUGAGAGGGUCAGAUCCACAGCCACCAGCCUCAGACACUGCACCAGUCCCUCGGCAGGGCUGUAGGAACAUCAGCCCUGAGACAGAACCCUGGUCUCCUGAGCCCUGAUGCACAGAUCUGGCACCUUUGGACCACUUAUUUAUUAAAAUUGAAAAGCUUCCAAAGAAAAUG